ACGCACUUGGUCAGCCAGCGUUGCCGUAAAAGUGUAAACGUUUUGCAAGCAUGAAGUCGGCUUCCCUUUUCAUCCAAAUCCAGUGCCACGUCACUCUGCUAAAAUGAUAUUUGGAUUGUUUCAAAUCCAAACACAUUCAAGCAGGUUCAUUCACCCUGCAGUGCGAGCGUUCCUCCAUGCGGCGAGGCGGGGGCGAUUCAGCACGAUGAUGGAUGACACUGUGAUUUACUGAGACUCUCCUCUUCCCCAAAAAAAGAUAACGAGAAGAUAAUGAAAAGACUGACUGACGGCAGCAGCAGCCGCCAUUGUGCGCACGCAGUUGAUGCAUGCCAUCCCCCAUUAAUUAAGCACAGUUAUUUCACAGACACACACACGCCAGCAAGACCACAGCUCAUACAUCAAAACAGGACUCGGCACGAGUCUAUUUUUAGACGCUGGCUUGUACAAAUAAUCAAAGCACGAGUGCACACGAAAGCAGCCAAUGACGAUGGCCGCCAUUCUUCAUUUUAAGCGUACCCUGUUUGUUUUUCUUACUGGAACAGGUGACAAUAAUUUACGACUGCUUUGUAUGACAAGAAGAAAAUGUUAUUUGUUUUAUCUAAAGUCCUUUAUGAUUCCAAUGACAUCAUUUUGCCUGUCUUCACUAAAGGAGGAAGCUUAAAAAGACAAAGGUAGAGCAGGGAAAGGAAGUGUGUUCUCCGGCUUUUUGGGAAAAGGUCGACAGGAUGAGCUCCAAGAAGACUGGACUACUACGGUCAAGGUGAUCAGAGAGACAGGCAGGAGAGUACUUGGUGUGUCUUCUGGUACGAACGGGGAGAAAGAGACUUGGUGGUGGAACAAGGGACACGAGCUGCUGAGACAGUUCUACACAGCAGUUAUCCAAUCAGUACCGUGUCUGGUUUGGAGCCGCCACAAAAAAAGGAAAAACUCAGACUACAAUGGACAAUCAAAACCGCUGAACGGAUUGUCGGCACUAUGCUACCCACUAUUGAGGAUUUGCACGCAACAUGAACUAGGUCCAGAGCAGGCAGGAUCCUCUCGGACCUACCACAUCCUGGCACCAGCUCUUCUAGCUCCUUCCGUCGGGAAAGUGAUACAGAUCAAUGAAAGUCAACACUAGCAGCUCAGCGAUGGCAAAGCGAAGCCCAAGGCAAGGCUUACUUACUUUGCCAAGCUCCAUAAAAGUUAUGAGAAGAAAAGUUCUAUGGCGUACUUCUACAUAGGUCUGAGUACUUUUGCCACAUAUGCCGUCCUCCAUGUGAGACCUCAGUUCAGUGAACGGUAAGGGAUUUUGGUUAUAUUUCUUCCCCCAAAAAAUUUACAUUUUGUACUUGUCAGUGAUACCAUUUGCAUAGUUAUUGUUCAUAUUUACCGCAAUUCACAGCGCAGCUGUUUAUAAGCCUAAUCCAGUACAUUUGUAAAGGAUUUGACCAUUUGGUACAUACGUACACUGCAGCUGUGUAAAACCCACAAGUACCCACAUUGAAACCCACCGUGAAACACGAGAUAUUUACAAAGACAGUACACAGAGUUUAACGCUAGUGCUAGCGCUGUGCUAAUGCUAAUGCUAGGGCCGUGCUAACACUAGCGCCGUGCUAACAGGGCUGGUCAAAAAAAAAAAAAAAACACUGGUAAAAAUCACCGAGACACAGCACUGACACGCUAGCGCAGCACUAACAGGGCCGGACCGGUAAAAGUCAAGCCUCGGCACAUAUAUUCCACCACUCUCACGCUUACUUUUUCCGCUCGAGUGCCCCCUUGCGGCCGUUAGAAAAAAAUGCACAAAUUAACCGCAUCACCGCAUAAACCCCAGGGUGGAAAGCGUGUGAAAAAAAGUCGCGGCUGAUACGUCGGAAAUUACGGUAUUUAAAUUGUAAUAUUGUGCCCUGUGUGGCACCAUCCUCCGACUCUCCUCAUAUCAUCAGCUCUAAUUGCCUAGUUGCUUAUAUAUAUAUAUAUAUAUAUAUAUCGUAAAAAAAAAAAUCUUUUCGGGCCGUAAACAAAAGGCAACAGCUGGAUCGAGGUGACGGCGUGUGGCUAAUAGCGCUUUAAUCUCCCACAGCGUCUACAUAAAACUUCAUCGUAACACUGACGGCUGCCAUAAAGCAUUCAGUCCACGGAUAGAAAGAAGGAGGCUAGACAGACUGAUGACUCAUAAUUAAACGCAAUCUUUACCUUAAUUAUUCUUUCUGUGCCAGGCAAUAUGCUUCCAGUCACUCACCAGAAGACCAUAAAAUGGGAUUUUCGAGACAAUUGCGCUCACGUUUUGCUUCGUAUCCCAAACAAUGGUUAUUACAGUAUGUCGAAGAAAGUAUGUAGGACGAAGUAAAACACAUAUACUGCAGGUGCUGAUGUGUUAGCUGGUGCGGCUGUGCGCCAGUUCAAGUGUUUCCAGUUUAUUCCAUUACGAUCUCCCAGUGGCAGCCGCCUGGACAGAUGUUCGCUGCUAAUGAGAGAAAGGACACACUUUUAUAACAUCACCUAUGACUCCUCGGGGGUUGAAGCUCUUCGGUGGUGGAUACAAACGACUGCCGUCGCUAAACAAGCCUCCGCUGGAGGAGAAUAACAACAAGAUGGGACGGAGGAGACGAUGACGGACUGAAGAGGGAAGCUGGCGGCAACGGCCGAGCAGCCUACUCGAUGACAUCUGCGAGACCCCGAGGCCUCGGGGCCACAAAACAUCCUCAAAGAAGAAGAAGCUGAGCUUCUUCAGACGGAGCAGCACCAGCGGGCUGUGCCCGCUACAUGCUGCAUCCGAGAUGGAACGCAGCAGACGUCUUCGAUUCAGCAGCGGAGAGGACGAGGAUCAACGGGGUCUGUUAUCCAUGACGGAUAAUCUCAAAGACUCCCACUCACGGACGACUGGAUCGACUGCAGAGAACUCCCGAACAUUCUUCUUCUUCUUUUCCUUUCGGCUUGUCCCGUUAGGGGUCGCUACAGCGUGUCAUCUUUUUCCGUCUAAGCCUAUCUGGUGCAUUCCUUCUCUCUAACACCCACUGUCCUCACGUCCUCCCUCACAACAUCCAUCAACCUUUUCUUUGGUCUUCCUCUCUCUCGCUCUUUUGCCUGGCAGCUCCAUCCUCAGCACCCUCCUACCAAUGUACUCACUCUCUCGCCUAUGAACAUGUCCAAACCAUUUAAGUCUGCUCUCUCGAACCUUGUCUCCAAAACAUCCAACUUUGGCUGUGCCUCUAAUGAGCUCAACCUCAACAUCUUCAUUUCUGCUUCCUGUCGUCUCUUCAUUGCCACCGUCUCUAAUCCGUACAUCAUGGCCAGCCUCACCACUGUUUUAGAAACUUUGCCCUUCAUCCUAGCGGAGACUCGUCUGUCACAUAGAACACCAGACACCUUCCGCCAACUGUUCCACCCCGUUUCUUCACUUCCUGACCACACUCUCUGUUGCUCUGUAUUGUUGACCAAGUCGUCCACCAUCUCUUCUCCCUAAAGCGUCACUCUCCCUCCUCCACCCUCUUCAGUUUUACUUUGGCUAAUCUUCAAUCAACUUCAGAACAUUGUACCGCUUUAAAAAUGUUUGGUUCCCGGUGUGUACUCCAAUAUGCAAUUGUAUGAAAACAAAAGGAAUCUGCAUUUCCGAGUGACAUGCUGUCAGUAGUCCCUUUGACACUGCCUUGAAAUUUCUAAUUUUGUAUGACUUUUUUGCAGGGUGGUGUUCUGGAUCAAAAGGCCUAGAUGUGGACCUCGGGGAAUGUACCCUUUCAAAUUCGAGCCCCUUUCACAGUGUCACUAAAAGCUCGUAUAUUGUCGCAAUGCAGCGUAAAUGUGGAUUGCUCUUGCACGGAUGGUGCUGAGACCGAUUCGGGGUACGAAGUCGACCUGGCAAAUUGCUGUCUUCGGAGGCGGCUGUAUUUGAAGCCUAUUUGAGAUUGCCUGCAAAAGCCAACAUGCUUCCAGAAUGAGGGCAGGAAGUGGAUCCAGGAAGAUUUUUACCUUUGGUGAUAAGCGAAGAAGCCCUUUUGACACUGCCUGUAAAAGAUAGUAUUUUUCCGAGAUAUUUGGUGAUUUUACGCAGGUCGGUGUGUAUAUUGAGUGGUAAAAUGGAUGCGAGGCAAAGUUGACCUGAUCGCGAUACAAUCGCGAUGCAACUUCAGUAGUUGUAUAGGAAAAUCACUUUUUACCCUGCAUAGAGCCACCAUGCACAUUGUAACAUCCUCUCCAAAAAUCUAGAAGCUUAAAGUCUUCAAGCGAGUUGUUUUCAAAUCUCAGUGUUGGGCUAAUUGUCAAAUGGAACGGACGAUUACACUCGGGUUUGCUACUGGAUGACAUAUUAUAUAGGAAAUAUCAAGUGGUGACAAAAAUAAUAAUGUCAUGUCAUUAUCCAAGCCGCUUAUCCUAACAAGGGUUGUGGGAAAGCUGGAGCCUAUCCAGGCUAGCUUUGGGCGAAACGCAGACUACACUCUGAACUGGUCGCCAGUCAGUCGCAGGGCAAAUAACGACACCAUCACUGAGCGGGAAUCGAUCCCACCGUGCCCGCACCAAAGGCAGGCGUGUGUUCCAACACACCAUCAAUGACCGAAAAUAUUAUACAAAUAAAUGCAUUCAUUAAAACAAUUUGCUUGUCGUAAACGAAAGCAAACAAAUCAAUCAUAGUUUCAAACCAUUAUAUAUGCUACCAUAGCAAGAAAAGCAAAGGAUACCGUAUGUAGAUGGAGGCGGGUGCUUCUAAAAGGAAGACUGGGCACAGCUAUUGAAUGAUGUGGGCCUACUGCAAAUUGAAAAUGAGAUUAAGUGUAAUUUAAUGCUACGCUCUAUUUGGGAUCAAAUAUAGCAAAUAGCCUGCAGGCCAAGCCCUCCAACAUCUGCAUAUCAAUGCUUCCCACUUAGGAAAGCAAAUAUAAACGGAGAAAGAACAU